rnacentral:rRNA from 1 species
UGAGGAAUAUUGGUCAAUGGGCGAGAGCCUGAACCAGCCAAGUCGCGUGAAGGAAUACGGCCCUAUGGGUCUUAAACUUCUUUUGUAUAGGGGUAAAGGUAUGUACGUGUACAUAUUUGCAAGUACUAUACGAAUAAGGAUCGGCCAACUCCGUGCCAGCAGCCGCGGUAAUACGGAGGAUGCGAGCGUUAUCCGGAUUCAUUGGGUUUAAAGGGUGCGUAGGUGGCCAUUUAAGUCAGCGGUGAAAGUUUGUGGCUCAACCAUAAAAUUGCCGUUGAAACUGGAGGGCUUGAGUAUGUUUGGGGCAGGCGGAAUGUGUGGUGUAGCGGUGAAAUGCAUAGAUAUCACGCAGAACUCCGAUCGCGAAGGCAGCUUGCCAAGCCAUAACUGACACUGAAGCACGAAAGUGUGGGUAUCAAACAGGAUUAGAUACCCUGGUAGU